rnacentral:misc_RNA from 1 species
AGACGAGACGGAGAGAGCCGCGGUGAAUAGCAGGCCAAGAACGCGACGAUGUCGCAUGAUGACUCCGGUAAUUUCUGCACGGAUUAUACGCAACGUCGCCGACACGAAGAUAGGGCGCAUCCGACCCCUAAUCAGGAACGGAGCAAAUGCCAUUUCGCCCCUGCCGAGCCGUUUAACCACCCGCGGGCUGCGUCGCAGGCGCCGCUUGCGGGUCAUGUCCCUGCAACUGCGACGCCGGCUUGUUCGCCGAAUCACCGCGCUGGAAAUCUUCGAUUCGACCGAUGAUCCCGACAUACUCGUUGCCGGAGAAGGUCUGUUGCUGGCUGCCGGGCGGAAACAGGCCCAUGAACUGAAGCUCGCGCAAC